rnacentral:rRNA from 1 species
GGUAAAAAAGCUCGUAGUUGGAUUUCUGUUGAGGACGACCGGUCCGUACCAUGUACGCGCAUCUGGCUCGGCCUCGGCAUCCUCUCGAUAGACGUUUCUGCGCUUGAUUGCGUGGAGCGGAUUUCGGGACUUUUACUUUGAGGAAAUUAGAGUGUUCACGGCAGGCUAUCGCCAGAAUACAUUAGCAUGGAAUAAUAUUAUAGGAUCUCGGUUCUAUUUUGUUGGUUUCUAGUACCGGGGUAAUGAUUAAUAGGGACAAUUGGGGGCAUUUGUAUCAACACGUCAGAGGUGGAAUUCUUGGAUUGUGUUGCGACAAACUACUGCGAAAGCAUUUGCCAAGGAUGUUUUCAUUGAUCAAGAACGAAAGUAAGGGGAUCGAAGACGAUUAGAUACCGUCGUAGUCUUUACCAUAAACUAUGCCGACUAGAGAUGGGGCAUCGUUCACUUACGACUUGCUCCGCAUCUUAUGAGAUAUCAAAGUCUAUGGGUUCCGGGGGGAGUGUGGUCGCAAGUCUGAAACUUAAAGGAAUUGACGGAGGGGCACCACCAGGAGUGGAGCCUGCGGCUUAAUUUGACUCAACACGGGGAAACUCACCAGGUCCAGACAUAAUAAGGAUUGACAGAUUGAUAGCUCUUUCUUGAUUUUAUGGGUGGUGGUGCAUGGCCGUUCUUAGUUCGUGGAGUGAUUUGUCUGCUUAAUUGCGUUAACGAAC